GACGAACGCUGGCGGCGUGCUUAACACAUGCAAGUCGAACGGAAAGGCCCCUUUGGGGGUACUCGAGUGGCGCACGGGUGAGUAACACGUGAGUAACCUGCCCUUGACUUCGGGUUAACUUCAGGAAACUGGGGCUAAUACCGGAUAGGAAUCCUUGCUGCAUGGUGGGGGUUGGAAAGCUUCGGCGGUUUUGGAUGGACUCGCGGCUUAUCAGCUUGUUGGUGGGGUAGUGGCUUACCAAGGCUUUGACGGGUAGCCGGCCUGAGAGGGCGACCGGCCACAUUGGGACUGAGAUACGGCCCAGACUCCUACGGGAGGCAGCAGUGGGGAAUAUUGCACAAUGGGCGGAAGCCUGAUGCAGCAACGCCGCGUGCGGGAGGACGGCCUUCGGGUUGUAAACCGCUUUCAGCAGGGGCGAAGCUUGUGGUGACGGUACCUGCAGAAGAAGCACCGGCUAACUACGUG
rnacentral:rRNA from 1 species